CAAACCAAGAAGAUAGGCAAGGUUACUAUAAAACUUCGGUACAAACUGAUACCAAGAGUUCUGCAUUUUGGGCCAACUCCUGGCCCUAUUGAAGCCAAUGGUAAUUUUGCUGAUGACCUCAGUGAGACCAGGAUUUGAGGAUAACCUCUCUAGCACACUGUUUUGAACACUGAUACUGGACCUCCUAAAACUGGCCAGAACUGAAAUCCUGGCUCCAAACACCUCUUAGCUUUAAAGAGUUGAUCCAAGUCUGGAUCUCACCAGCUCAUCUCUCUCUCUAGGUCUGAUUCUCAUUUUACAUAAAUGUAAAUAUACUUGAUGGCCCCUUUAAGGUCCCUUUACACGUUUACAGGAGUGAUCUUAGUGUAAUUGAGUCUGGCCCUCUGUCACUACAACUGUGGAGAAAUUGGAAUCCAGCUCCCAACUUUGCUGCAGGAAGGCUCAUUGCAAGCACUCCCUGGUGGAUCUAGGUGAAGAGCGUGAUGCAGAUAGAAUUUGGGUGAUGACUGCCUUCCUCAGGAGACGAAGCUAGAACGUUGGUGACAGGCUAUGCUGAAAAGCUAGAUCAAGUGGGAAGGCUCUGUGCUUUUCUUUACAGAUAUCCUCCCUGAAGCCCAGUGAACAAGACAGUGCUUGAGCCAGCCUGUGUCAAAUAUCCACCCGGGGAAACUCAGACUGGAAGAGGAUUGUUCCUCCGUUGUCUGCAAAGGAGAGGAAGCACACAAGGCUCCAAUUACUACCCCUUAGGAAUAAAGUUAUGGAAGGAUUGGGCUGUAUUAAACUACAAGCAAUUAUAAGAACAAGAUCCUGAGGGAAGAUUGAUAAAAGCCUUCAAUGGACAGCCAAGAGGGGGAGAGUGGGACGAAGAAUGGCUGAUGGAGCUGCUGUUGGUGGAUUGCUUUUUGUGCACUCCAGAAGAAGGUGGAGUUUUUGUUUUGGCUGGAGGACUAAACUACUCAGAGAGAGGAAAACUGACCCUCAUCCUCCACAGUCAGAGGUAAGAGACUUUGCCACACUGCCCCAGGCAGAAGAGGGCAAGUGAAAUUUUAGGCCCCAUAGAAAGUCCCAGCCCAAGUGUUUUAGCAGAGUUCUCUCUCUACAACAUAGAGGAGAGUGGAAAAGUGAAGUGAAAUGCAGCAGCUGCCAGAACUGGCACUGUAGCUAGGAUCUUUAGUGCGGUCUGUUCUUAUUAAUAGGUGCAAAUUGUGCACUCUGUAAAAUGAUAAAAAGAUGUUUAAAUCUGAUUAUACACAAUUCUGUCUUGUCAAGAAUAACAUUUCAAUUAAGGUACAUUUUAAAACUGCCAGCAUCUAUGCAGGCAAUGAUUGUCAGCUUGCUGUAAAAUGGAAGAUUGCGAUGUACAGCUGGAUAAAUUAAUUUCCCAAAAGACGAGAUGCAGUUGCUCCAGUAUAAAUCAGCUCUAGUUUAGCUUGUUAGGCAUGUUUGUGGCUUAUCACCGGGAAGCUAAACACUACCAAUGGCUGCAGUGCAAUAACUGCUUGCAGGGGUAAAUCCUGUUCAGUGCAAUUGUUUGGAGCAGAGCCUGCAGUGGUGGAUGCAAGACCUGUGAGCGCUCACAUGUCUGAUCUUCUGAAAAGGCAAACAGCUAUCAGCAGUUGACAGUAAGAACUGAUGUUGUCUAUGCUAAAUAGAAGGACCACUUGAAGAACAGAAACAUGCCUAUGAUGGGGCUUUUGGAUCCUUUCUGGAGAUUGGUGAGGAAAGAGUUAAUUCUCUUCCUCUGGACAGAGGCAGGCAGGAUCAGGAUUGUUUUCCUGGCAUUCAGGGAACUACAGAAUAGCAAGGCUGAGCCAGUUAUGACCCACUAGCCCAAUCCUUCAAGGCCCUGAAGAGCCUGUUGGGGACCUUAGCACAUAAUCUGGGUCCAACUAUCUUCUCUUGGUGCACGCAGAUUUGAUAACGCCAUAGGUGGUUGACUGGUCUAUUGCCCCUAAUAAAUGCUUGUCUUUUCUAGAGGUAGGUUUUAUUCUUUAAAUUUAUUUUUGUUUCUCUUACAUUUGGCACUGGGCAUUGAACCUUUUGAUGUAAACAGAGGAGCAAGAUGGUGUAGUUCAGAGGCCAUUCCAAGUCAUGGACACCGAUUGUUUCGUCUCAGUCCCCGUCAGGGUAGUUUGCUGAGCUAUGCUUAAUGUACUGUGGGUACUUCUUUUUUAUGAAGAUUUGGGAUGUUGCACAUCUAAUAAAACAUGACAGUCCACAGUGGGGUGCAUUCAUUUUAUUCCAGAUUACAAUACAAAUACAUAAAGGAACAGAUUGAAAGCAAACAUGAUGAUGAUGAUGAUGAAUCGUUGCAAGGAGGGAGAAAAAACAUCUUCAGAGAGACACAUUAGACAAACGGUGGAGCUUCGUGGAGCUUACAAAAAACUAUAUAAAUCAGGGUAGACAAUAGAUGUUGGCAUUACUUCAGAAUACAGAAACACUUCAAGAGUCCCCUUUAAAAAAAAUUUUUUUAAGCCAGUGAUUGCUCAUUUCAUGAUCAGUGAAUCUGAGAAGUAAGUACAUUAUGGACUUUGAUAAGGAACUGAUAAAAUUGACAUGUGUUGUAACUAGAGUUGGCUGAACAUUUUUAAACAAAAGAAUGACUUUUGUAUUAAAUGGAAAUUUUGACAACGAUAUUUUUUUCCAGUUUUUGGGUGUCCAAAAUCUUAAAACUUUGGGGUUUGAUUUUUAUUUUUAUGUAAACCUGAGAAAUUCCAUAACAAAAUUUCUACAAAAAUGAAAAACUUCAUUUUUUUCAAACUUUUUCACAGAAAAUAAUAAAAACAUUUUCCAAACCACUUUAGUUGUGACCAUCCUGCUUCAAAUCUAGAUCCCUGUUCCACCUUCUGGUUGUGUUGCGCUGCUCAGGCAGCAUAAAAUAGCUGGAAAGGCAGGGGAAAUUCCUGAGUGGCAUAAAGCUAACAUAACCAGUAGUAUCCCACCUGCUCCCUGCCCCACAAUUAGGGGGAAUUCUGCAGGCAUACGGGAUAGUGAACAGAGCAAAUUGCACUCAAGCAAUCCUGGGCCAGCUGGAACAGCUCUAGGGAACCAUUACUGUCAGGGUAAUUUAGAGCAGCCCUGAGGCUGCUUUAAGUUAUACCAAGGGCUAAAACAGUCUCUGUCUCAUCCCAGUAUGAUGGGGAAAGGGGCAGGGAAAGGGAUAUAAAUAUGAGUUAGAACCACAUGCCCCUGUCCCUAUUUAUUCCUGAGCCAAUCAUAACCUGGCUGGACCCAUGAAUCUGGCCAUGCAUCUUCACGAUUGUUCUCAGCCUUCUGAAGGGUUGAAUAGGUUCCUAUUCCUUUUAUUUGCUUACCUAAGAGCUGUUUUUUCAAUCCAGCUCUCAUUCAGCCUUUUCAUAACGUCUGUGUCAGGUUUCCUUUACAAGGAGGCAGAAGCUGCCCAAAGAAUCAAAUAUUUUUCUCCCCCACGGACACAAAGCUAACUAUGGGCAGAAACCAUUGAUUGGUCCUUUAAUCCAUUAUCAGAUUGAAGGGGGAAUCAGUGAAAGUUUUGAUGGUGCUAAUUUGCUCUUGGGCAUUUCUGCCUAUUAAUGUAAUAGCAAAAAUAAAUAAAGUCAAAUCCUCGUAAAAGCAACAGCUCCCUUUGCAAAAAGUGAAAACAAAUUCACAUGUGCCAAAAACAAAACACGCCCGCCCCCCCCCCCACCUCACAGCAGAAGUAUUUAAAUGAGAAAUGUGCACCAACUACCCAACUGGGUACCCAUGCCUCCUUUCAAACAAUAGUGCCUCCCCUUCACUGGUAAAAUGUGGGUUGGUUCUGUUUUGAUCUCCAACCUUUU